UACAGAGGGGGCAAGCGUUGUUCGGAAUUACUGGGCGUAAAGGGCGCGUAGGCGGCCCGCUAAGUCGAACGUGAAAUCCCCGAGCUCAACUCGGGAACUGCGUCCGAUACUGGCGGGCUUGAAUCCGGGAGAGGGAUGCGGAAUUCCCAGUGUAGUGGUGAAAUACGUAGAGAUUGGGAAGAACACCAGUGGCGAAGGCGGCUAUCUGGACGGUUUCUGACACUAAGACUCGAAAGCGUGGGGAGCAAACAGG
rnacentral:rRNA from 1 species